AUUGAACGCUGGCGGCAGGCCUAACACAUGCAAGUCGAGCGGAUGAAGGGAGCUUGCUCCUGGAUUCAGCGGCGGACGGGUGAGUAAUGCCUAGGAAUCUGCCUGGUAGUGGGGGAUAACGUCCGGAAACGGGCGCUAAUACCGCAUACGUCCUGAGGGAGAAAGUGGGGGAUCUUCGGACCUCACGCUAUCAGAUGAGCCUAGGUCGGAUUAGCUAGUUGGUGGGGUAAAGGCCUACCAAGGCGACGAUCCGUAACUGGUCUGAGAGGAUGAUCAGUCACACUGGAACUGAGACACGGUACAGACUCCUACGGGAGGCAGCAGUGGGGAAUAUUGGACGAUGGGCGAAAGCCUGAUCCAGCCAUGCCGCGUGUGUGAAGAAGGUCUUCGGAUUGUAAAGCACUUUAAGUUGGGAGGAAGGGCAGUAAGUUAAUACCUUGCUGUUUUGACGUUACCAACAGAAUAAGCACCGGCUAACUUCGUG
rnacentral:rRNA from 1 species